UACGUAGGGUGCAAGCGUUAAUCGGAAUUACUGGGCGUAAAGCGUGCGCAGGCGGUGAUGUAAGACAGAUGUGAAAUCCCCGGGCUCAACCUGGGAACUGCAUUUGUGACUGCAUCGCUGGAGUGCGGCAGAGGGGGAUGGAAUUCCGCGUGUAGCAGUGAAAUGCGUAGAGAUGUGGAGGAACACCGAUGGCGAAGGCAGCCCCCUGGGCCAACACUGACGCUCAGGCACGAAAGCGUGGGGAGCAAACAGG
rnacentral:rRNA from 1 species